CUAUCAACGAUUCUCCUAGUAACUGCGAGUGAAGCGGGAAAAGCUCAAAUUUAAAAUCUGGCAGUGGUUCACUGCCCGAGUUGUAAUCUAGAGAAGUGUUGCUCACACUGGACCAUGUAUAAGUCUUCUGGAAUGAAGCGUCAUAGAGGGUGAGAAUCCCGUCUUUGACAUGGACUCCCAGUGUAUUUGUAGCAUGCUCUCAAAGAGUCGAGUUGUUUGGGAAUGCAGCUCUAAAUGGGUGGUAACCUCCAUCUAAAGCUAAAUAUUGGCGAGAGACCGAUAGUGAACAAGUACCGUGAGGGAAAGAUGAAAAGAACUUUGGAAAGAGAGUUAAAAAGUACGUGAAAUUGUUGAAAGGGAAACGCUUGAAGUCAGUCACAUUGGCCAGGGAUCAACCCAAGCUUUUUUGCUUAAGUGUACUUCCUGGCUGAUGGGCCAACAUCAGCUUUGACUGUCAGAGAAGGGUAGGGGGAAUGUGGCACCCUUCUUGGGUGUGUUAUAGCCCUCUGUCAUAUAUGGCCGUUGGGGSUGAGGAAUGCAGCGCGCCACAAAGRCCGGGUUUYGACCACGUUUCGCGCUUAGGAUGUUGGCAUAAUGGCUUUAAUCGACCCGUCUUGAAACACGGACCAAGGAGUCUAACAUSCCUSCGAGUGUUUGGGUGGAAAACCCGAGUGCAUAAUGAAAGUGAAAGUUGAGAUCCCUSUCAUGGGGKGCAUCGACGCCCGGACCUGAGCUUUUCUAGCAAUGGCUCUGCGGUAUAGCAUGUAUGUUGGGACCCGAAAGAUGGUGAACUAUGCCUGAAUAGGGCGAAGCCAGAGGAAACUCUGGUGGAGGCUCGUAGCGAUUCUGACGUGCAAAUCGMUCGUCGAAUUUGGGUAUAGGGGCGARAGACUAAUCG
rnacentral:rRNA from 1 species